rnacentral:rRNA from 1 species
UGGGGAAUAUUGCACAAUGGAGGGAACUCUGAUGCAGUGACGCCGCGUGAACGAAGAAGGCUUUCGAGUCGUAAAGUUCUUUUAUAUGGGAAGAUAAUGACGGUACCAUAAGAAAAAGCCCCGGCUAACUACGUGCCAGCAGCCGCGGUAAUACGUAGGGGGCUAGCGUUGUCCGGAAUCACUGGGCGUAAAGGGUUCGCAGGCGGAAAUGCAAGUCAGGUGUAAAAGGCAGUAGCUUAACUACUGUAAGCAUUUGAAACUGCAUAUCUUGAGAAGAGUAGAGGUAAGUGGAAUUUUUAGUGUAGCGGUGAAAUGCGUAGAUAUUAAAAAGAAUACCGGUGGCGAAGGCGACUUACUGGGCUCAUUCUGACGCUGAGGAACGAAAGCGUGGGUAGCAAACAGG